CCCUUAGACGUUCUGGGCCGCACGCGCGCUACACUGACCAGUGCAACAAGCAUCCGUCCUUGGCCGACAGGCCCGGGCAAUCUUUGAACGCUGGUCGUGAUGGGGAUAGACUUUUGCAAUUUUUGGUCUUCAACGAGGAAUUCCUAGUAAACGCAAGUCAUCAACUUACAUUGAUUACGUCCCUGCCCUUUGUACACACCGCCCGUCGCACCUACCGAUUGAAUGGUCCGGUGAAGCCUCCGGAUUGGCGCGCACCUCGGUGCCGCCGAGAAGUUGGCUAAACCUUACCAUUUAGAGGAAGGUGAAGUCGUANCA
rnacentral:rRNA from 1 species